rnacentral:lncRNA from 12 species
UUAGGGAACUCUCUGGAAUAUUGUUUAUAUUCCAAAGGUCCUCUUUUUAAAUUUUAUUUAUUUAUUUAUUUAUUUAUUUAUUUAUUUAUUUAUUUUGAAAGAGAGAGAGAGCCACCAUGAGCACAACUCAGGGAGUCUAUUGUGGGGCUCUGUCUCAUGACCCUGAGAUCAUGACCUGAGCCAAAAAUCAAGAGUCAGACGUUUAACUGACUGAACCACCUAGGAGCCCCUAUUACAAAGUCCUUUAGCUUUUAGUCUUAAGGAUGGUAUUUGACUUCAAUCACAUGAACUCUUUAUAUGUAGUUCUGUGUAUGCGUGUGUAUGUGUGUAUAAAACAGGAAUCCUUGAUGUGUUUGUUUUUCAUUUCGACAGUUAGCAUUAUUGCACUCUGACAAUUGGAUCUGUGUUACCAUCUGUCACUCGGGGAAUGUGUCUGUCAAUUAGCAGUUCUACAACACUAUCUGUCGACCCACAAAAGUUACCAGGAAAAUAACUUGAAAGCUACUGUCAAGAGGAAAUUGAACUAGGUAUUGAGUUCUUUGGAAGUACAUUUAUUUCACAGCAUCUGUGUGUCAAGUAGUGAUGAAUGCCCUUUCUAACUAGACAAGGAAGAGCUAUUGUCAUAACAAUGGGAAAAUACACCUUCCAUCUCCACUGGAGACGAAAUUUGCCUGUGUAUGUGGAGCCAAUGAAACAAAUAUCUCUCAACACCUUUGGAUUUUUUCCCUAUACUUAAUCCCAUAGCCAUUGUACAGUAAUUUUAUAAGGCAGAUGAAUGCCACCUAGAUGAUGGUGUGCCAUGCUGGCGGCACUGUCAACCUGUGAGCCUGAAUUGAUGUAAAUCACUUGGGAAGGACAAAAAUUGUACACUGUAUUUUUUCCAGGGGUACUAUAUGCAUGUUAGAAAUUGUGCCUCUUGUGUGAAAGCCAAGUGUUAAUUUUUAAUGUGCUACUCUGCCAAAAACAUGACUUCUACCAUGAAAGUAUCACAAAAGAUACUCAAGUGUACAAGGAAACUCCACUAAAGAUCAUGUAUUCCUCAGAUGUCCUCAGAGAUAUCUUGAAAAUGAAGAUACCCUUGUUGACUCAGGGGAGCUUACUAGAACAAUGGAGUAUUAGCCAUAAAGAAGAAUGAAAUCUUGCCAUUUGUAACAUCAUGGAUGGAUCCAGAUGGUAUAAUGCUUAAAUGAAAUAAGCCAGUCAAGAAAGUACCAUAUGAUUUCAAUGAUUGAAUUGAAUCAUAUGUGGAAUUUAUGACAGAAAAAAUAAAGAAAAAGAUACCAACA